UUUAAAAGUGUUAAACAUGAUUUACAAUCGUUUUUAAAGUAUUUACUAUAAAACCUGUAAUAAUAGUCUCUACACUGUCUUUUGUUCAUACAGGAAUUCAAUGUGAACCUGUUCAUAGGGAACUUCGACGAAAGGGGAAAGAUCUUGUAAAAGAACCAUACUUUUGGGCUAGUAAAGGAUCCUAUACUCUUGGUGAUCUCGAAGAUCGAUUGUUUUUAAAACCUAAGGAAGGUGAACCUGCUGUUGAAGAUGAAGAAAAGUUGUGUCUUGCUGCAGUAGUGUUGACUGAAGGAAUUCUUUUGACACCAUAUGAAAAAGAGAAGAUACCUUUGCCAAGAUUGCAGCAUGCUUUUGAUUUUGAGAUGUACACAGCCCAACCGUGGGGUAAAGAAGCAUUCAGUGUUCUAUCAAAUUCAAUUCUGAGAAUGGACGAGAAAACUUGGGCAAAAGAGAAAUAUGAUUUGAGAGGAUUUGGACUAGCGCUAACAAUAUGGGUGUUGAGCGCAGUUCCAGCAUUUGGUGCAGCAUAUGGAGUUAAAGAUAAGGAAUUCCAAUCUGAAUAUCCAUUGAUAUUGAAGUGGAAAAGCACUACUACUCCAGAGUUUUUCAAGAUCGUAAACCUUGUAAAUGAUGUUUCUGAGGUAAGCUUUUGUCUAUUUACAGAAUUCUUUAAAUGGUUUUGAGAUUUGAAGUUCUGCUUUCUCAAGAUUUGUAAUGUUAUUGUAUCUUCGCAGAUUGAGGUGAAUACAAUUAUUUGAAACCCAGAAGACUUCAAGUCUUUAGUUCCUGAUUUCCACACAGACGACAUAGAAUUCCAACAGGUUUUGGAACUUGUUAAGAUGGGCUACAGAUUGAAGAAAACUGAAUGGAAUACAAGAUGCGUUGAUGUUUGUGCUGCCCUUGAAGAAGUAGGUCAAAACAAAAUCAAUAACAAAAUAUCUGAUAGCGAGAAGCUUGACAGGAUUUUGACAAUCCUUGAAGAUCUUAACAAGAGAGUCGAGCUGAUUGAGAGGAUUUUGGACAUUAGAAUGGAGGAAAAGAAUAAUCAGAGAUCUGAGGAAGAUGAAGAAAGAAAACAAGAAGAUGAAGGAGUAGAAAGACAACCAGAGGUAAUUGUAAAUGUUUCUUUAAAAGCUAUUUGAAAGGAAAGGUUUUACAAUGUAUUUUAAAGGUUAAAUACGUAGUAAACCUUUACAAUGUACUCUUUUUUUUCGCAGGCUGAAGAAGAAGGAGGACUAGAAAGAAAAGCAGAGGUAAUUGAAAAUCUUUACAAGCUAUUUUAAAGGUCUACUAAUUAUAUUAAUGAUUGACUUAUUGUUUUUAUUUUGUUACAGAAUGACAAUGAAUCAUUUGAAGAUUCAAUCCGAGAGCCAAACACACAGUAUGGGAGCUAUCCGGGUGAUGAUGAAAACACCCAACGUGAUGUUGGUGAUGAAUUAGUUGAAGAAUCAUCAAAAGUACAGUAAUUUAUAUCUCUAAAAGUCUUACAAAAAUGAUUAGUAUCCUUUUUAUAAUUUUACAUUCUGUUAUCUUUUCAAGGAUAAGUCUCCUACUCCACGAUCCUCUACACCAAAUUUCAAUAUUUUGUCUGAAGAAAGUCUGGAUGUUCAAAAGGAUAAGAAGAGAGUUAGCAGAGGAAGAAAUCAGGUUAGCAUUUAAAAAAAUUUGUAUUAUCUAACCAAGUGUUUAUAAUAUUUUUUUCAAAUCUUUAAAAGUUUAUCUUUCAUGCAACUUCAGAACAAGAGAGUUAAACCAAGUGUUCAUGCUGAGGAUAAUCUUAAAACAAGAAAACAGGUUAGUAUUUGCAACAGUACUGUUUUUAAAAAUUGUCAAUUGUCUUGUUAUGAUAUUUACAAGGGAUUUUAAAAAUACUUUUAAUUGGUGUCUUUUACUAUUCUAGGUGCCGAGAAAGAGGCAGAAACAAGUUGAUAGUGCUGAUGUUGAUGUUCCAACAAGGAAAGAGGUUAGUAUCUAAUUUAUUAUGAUUUUGAAAAUUUUGUUUACAAGGUAUUUUAAACAUCUAU
rnacentral:sRNA from 1 species